GCCCAGAUGAGCGCCAGUGGUCUGGUAUGCGGGCUUCAAUCCCGUAGCUGACGACGAACAAAGUGGUUCAAUUCCAUCUUCUGGGG